UACAGAGGGUGCAAGCGUUGCUCGGAAUCAUUGGGCGUAAAGGGCAGGUAGGUGGUCUCGUUUGUCUGGGGUGAAAGCCCAGGGCUUAACCCUGGAAGUGCCCCGGAAACGGCGAGACUGGAGUCUUGGAGAGGGUCGUGGAAUUCCCGGUGUAGCGGUGAAAUGCGUAGAGAUCGGGAGGAACACCAGAGGCGAAGGCGGCGACCUGGACAAGUACUGACACUCAACUGCGAAAGCGUGGGGAGCAAACAGGAUUAGAAACCCCCGUAGUCC
rnacentral:rRNA from 1 species